rnacentral:tRNA from 1 species
CCCUUGAUAGCUCAGUUGGUAAAGAAUCUGUCUGCAAUGCAGAAGACCCUGGUUUAAUUCCUGGGUAGGGAA